rnacentral:rRNA from 1 species
UACAGAGGUCCCGAGCGUUGUUCGGAUUCACUGGGCGUAAAGGGUGCGUAGGUGGUUAGGUAAGUCCGAUGUGAAAUCUCCAGGCUCAACCUGGAAAUGGCAUUGGAUACUAUUUAGCUUGAGGAGUGGAGGGGGGACUGGAAUUCUCGGUGUAGCAGUGAAAUGCGUAGAUAUCGAGAGGAACACCAGUGGCGAAGGCGAGUCCCUGGACACUUCCUGGCACUGAGGCACGAAAGCUAGGGGAGCAAACAGG